GGCAUGGUGGCUUAGUGGCUUAGUGGUUAGCACUGUUGCCUCGCACGUCGAGGGUUCAAAUCCCACCUCCGCCC